rnacentral:miRNA from 1 species
CGCUGUGGCAAGAGGCGGACGCCAGAGCCGGGCCGGGCCGCUGUAGCGAGCGGAGCCGAGCGGAGCCGGGCCGGGCCGCUGCGG